AAAACGACUCUCGGCAACGGAUAUCUCGGCUCUCGCAUCGAUGAAGAACGUAGCGAACUACGAUACUUGGUGUGAAUUGCAGAAUCCCGUGAACCAUCGAGUCUUUGAACGCAAGUUGCGCCCGAAGCCAUUAGGCCGAGGGCACGUCUGCCUGGGCGUCACGC
rnacentral:rRNA from 1 species